ACUCCUAGGGAGGCAGCAGUGGGGAAUUUUCCGCAAUGGGCGAAAGCCUGACGGAGCAACGCCGCGUGAGGGAUGAAGGCCUCUGGGCUGUAAACCUCUUUUCUCAAGGAAGAAGAACUGACGGUACUUGAGGAAUAAGCCACGGCUAAUUCCGUGCCAGCAGCCGCGGUAAUAC
rnacentral:rRNA from 1 species